AUUGAACGCUGGCGGCAGGCCUAACACAUGCAAGUCGAGCGAGCGGCGGACGGGUGAGUAAUGUAUGGGGACUGCCCGAUAGAGGGGGAUAACCACCGGAAACGGUGGCUAAUACCGCAUACUGUUGGAUAACCCAUAUGGGAUUAGCUAGUAGGUAAGGUAAUGGCUUACCUAGGCGACGAUCCCUAGCUGGUCUGAGAGGAUGAUCAGCGAGACUGGGACUGAGACACGGCCCAGACUCCUACGGAGGCAGCAGGGGGGAAUAUUGCACAAUGGGCGCAAGCCUGAUGCAGCCAUGCCGCGUGUAUGAAGAAGGCCCUAGGGUUGUAAAGUACUUUCAGUCGGGAGGCGUUACCGACAGAAGAAGCACCGGCUAACACCGUGCCAGCAGCUGCGGUAAUUC
rnacentral:rRNA from 1 species